rnacentral:rRNA from 1 species
AACGAACGCUGGCGGCAUGCCUAACACAUGCAAGUCGAACGAGACCUUCGGGUCUAGUGGCGCACGGGUGCGUAACGCGUGGGAACCUGCCCUUAGGUUCGGAAUAACUCCCCGAAAGGGGUGCUAAUACCGGAUAAUGUCUUCGGACCAAAGAUUUAUCGCCUUUGGAUGGGCCCGCGUUGGAUUAGCUAGUUGGUAGGGUAAAAGCCUACCAAGGCGACGAUCCAUAGCUGGUCUGAGAGGAUGAUCAGCCACACUGGGACUGAGACACGGCCCAGACUACUGCGGGAGGCAGGAGUGGGGGAUAUUGGACGAUGGGCGGAAGGCUGAACCAGCAAUGCCGCGUGAGUGAUGAUGGCCUUAGGGUUGUAAAGCUCUUUUACCCGGGAUGAUAAUGACGGUACCGGAAGAAUAAGCACCGGCUAACUCCGUG